AGUUUGGUCCUAGCUUUAUUAUCAACUAUCCCCCGACCUACACAUGCAAGUAUCAGCACCCCAGUGAAGACACCCUCAUCACCUUAAAAAGGCUAAGGAGCUGACAUCAGGCACUAUCUAUAGCCCACGACGUCUAGUUUUACCACACCCUCAAGGGUUUACAGCAGUGAUAAAAAUUAUUCAUAAGCGACAGCUUGAAUUAGUCAAGGGGAAGAGGGCCGGCCAAUUCGGUGCCAGCCGCCGCGGUUACACCGUCAGGCCCAAGUUGAUCUCAACCGGCGUUAAGCGUGAUUAAAGAAGAAAAUAAUUAAAAUUACAUCUAAGUUUAGCUGUGAAAAACUUACUUAAGAGAAAUCCGAAAUCGAAAGUUAUUUUAAUUCAAACUCUUGAUCCCACGACAGCUUGGAAACAAACUAAGAUUAGGCACCUUACUAUGCCAAGCUAUAAAUAAUCUAUUCACACCCACCAGCGCCAGGGUACUACGAGCUUUAGCUUAAAACCCAAAGGACUUGACGGUACCCUAUUUACUAGAGGAGCCUGUUCUGUAAUCGAUGAUCCACGCUAAACCCGACCAUCUCUCGCUUUUCAGCCUGUAUACCUCCGUCGCAAGCCUACCAUAUGAAUGCCCUAUAGUAGACUCAACGGCCAUCACGCCACAAUGUCAGGUCAAGGUGCAGCUCAUGAGAUGGAAGAAAUGGGCUACAAUUUCUAAUAUAGAACAAACGAAUUACUACAUGAAAUAUAGUCAUGAAGGAGGAUCUAGCAGUAAAUUAGGACUAAAAAGCCUCAUUAAACCCCAAAUAUAGGGUGAGUACAAACCGCCCGUCACCCUCUUCAACAGCCUUUAAACAAGUCUUUAACACACUAAUGCAUCUUAGAGGAGGUAAGUCGUA
rnacentral:ncRNA from 1 species